rnacentral:lncRNA from 1 species
UGGAAGAAGAAGGUCGUUUGCAAAUAGAUGCGAGGGUUGAUUUUGCUUCUUAUCGAAGGAACCCUCGAUUGUUUAUACUUGCUGAUGUUUAAUAUAUGGACUUAAUUAUUCUAUGCGCAUUUAGAUAUUGUGAGAGAAUACUUAAAUAGUAUUUUGAGAUUUUUGUUGAGUGAUUUAAAUCUGUAAGUUAUGCAGUUUAUAUAGCAGGGAGGUAGGCUGGUAUUAUUUGCUUAUUUUUAAUAUAGUUGUAUUUAUUGUACGGAAAUAUCUGUGUAAUUACCGAAGGAUUUAAACAUUAAAUUGAUUAAUAGCUUUUCUAUUAUACUUUGCAGUUAUCAUAAUGACUAUUUGUUUUGUGACCUGCUACAAUUUAUCCUGGAGUAUUGAGGUGUUUAUUUGUGUGUUACUGGAAGGUGUACACUUAAACGAGAGGUAAAAGAGCAGGUCGAUAUCCGAAGGCAAUAUGAAUUAUUAAAUUGGUAAUAUGUCUUGCAAAUUUAUGUAGGUAAUUAUGUGGUUUCCCACGCGAAUUUUGAUAACAAUGCAUUCCUUUGUAAUGCAGGGUUAAAAAUAGACAUGUGUAAACAUCACUGCUAGCAGUGUAGCAGUCGAUUUUCUGACAAGUGGCGAGUUAUUCAUGAGUCUGUUAAACUAUAUGUAGUAUAAACACGUGGAAGAGUCUAUUAUUCAUGAUACCUGCUUACAGAGUAGGGUUUAAGCAACUUUAUCAGAUUUAAUCUCGCUGAAAAGUAUUUUCUUCUAAAGUGAAGUAAUUAAACUUCCAUUUCACAUAUAUAUUAAGCAAAGUUAAAUUUUCAUGAGCACGGAUCAAGUAAUUAAGUGCGCAUUGUGAGGAAAAUAAACAACGUCAAAAACCCAAGGAGUUCCGCAACACAGUCCAGAUGGUACAGCCACACCGCAACGCCACCCAGCCGUUUCAGCCCCGCAACCGGUGAAUCUGAACCCGCAACAACUUGUGGUUGUGGUGAGCCUUGUUGCAGAACACCAUUGUUCCGUGUUUGCGCAGCGAAGGGACAUUUUGGCUGAUGAUUCGCUGCACUGUCAGACAGUGUUGAACAAAAUGGUAUUACAGUUUUCAGCAGUAAUUUCUCUGACCAUUUUGAUUUUUAAGGAUAUGUGAGCUUGUACACACGAACUCAAACUCAUCGAAUAUAAGUGUUAAAGGUCACGCAUUAUGUGAGGGAGUCGUUAGUAUUGUAAGUAUUGUUGUACUUCGCAUAAUUCUUCAUUCAUCAAAGGACGAUCAGAAAAAAGGCGAAGGAGUAGCUAUUUAUUUACAACCUUGCACAUUGUUCUACUUGACCCCUGGAUUAAUAGAGAGAUAUAUGGUUGUUCGACCAUCUAGUGCUUCAAACUAGUUAUUUGUUUGUUUAUUUAAACGGUCUACCCGUCAUACGCUGUCAGUUUAGUGUGUUCUGAAGAAAUCUUUGACUGCCAUUCCAUAUAAACCACAUUUAUUUAGAGUAGCUGCUGCAACAGCAGCAUGACUGCUUACGAUAUUACAAGAAUGGGGCGUUGCGCCCCGGAUUCAAGUGCACUUAAAUCUUACAUUAGAAUCCUCUCACGUCAGCUGUUGUCACUCAGAUCUUAAGCCUAUAAGCAGUUUCAUUGUACCUGCCAUAUGUUGCCCUUUUUUGUUGACAAUUGUUUUCAGCUUUUCAGUGCGUCCUACCCAUAUUUGGAUAGUUGGAUGUUCAAUUAUAAAGUCGGUAUUUCGUUACGACAAGAAAUCAGCUGAGGGUUCUCAACUUGUAAUGCAGCGUCAUAAUGCGACCAUACUGUGUCAGAGUCAGGAUGGUAUGAAAUGGCGGCAAGUUAAACCAUUAAUCUUACACUUGUGUCCUUUUGAAGGCAAUCAAGAUAUCAUUGUUAUUCAUUGGGUAAUUAACUUAUUUUUCAUAAGAGAGAGAGCUAGAAAACGCGUUAAUAAUUUCGCUGCUCAUUUGUUGUUGUUGUUUGUUUUUUAAAAUACAUUGGUGGAUACGUUCGUUAACCAGAAAUCGUCGAAUCCGUGACGGGCCUCUUCAACAGGGAUGGGGUGCACUUGUCAUAGUUUGGAAAUAUUUUGUUUUUAUUCACUCUGCAACACAAGUUUCAGUCCUUUUUAGCAGUAAAUUGUUAAGGCACAGCUUCUCAGGCAGGGUUUGCUUCGCUAUACUGGUGGCGGUUGUCAAGAAUUUUCCACGUUGUUCCAAAUUCUCGACAUGUGGCGGUUAGGUCAGCCUCCACCAGUAUAUCUUAACGUUGUGUAAUAAGAAGUUUGUUUGUUUCAAGUAUACUGUAUUAGGCCUCUGUUCACAGGGCCUCCACAUCUGCAUUUUA